AUGAACGCUGGCGGCGUGCCUAAUACAUGCCAGUCGAGCGAACAGACGAGGAGCUUGCUCCUCUGACGUUAGCGGCGGACGGGUGAGUAACACGUGGAUAACCUACCUAUAAGACUGGGAUAACUUCGGGAAACCGGAGCUAAUACCGGAUAAUAUAUUGAACCGCAUGGUUCCAUAGUGAAAGACGGUUUUGCUGUCACUUAUAGAUGGAUCCGCGCCGCAUUAGCUAGUUGGUAAGGUAACGGCUUACCAAGGCAACGAUGCGUAGCCGACCUGAGAGGGUGAUCGGCCACACUGGAACUGAGACACGGUCCAGACUCCUACGGGAGGCAGCAGUAGGGAAUCUUCCGCAAUGGGCGAAAGCCUGACGGAGCAACGCCGCGUGAGUGAUGAAGGUCUUCGGAUCGUAAAGCUCUGUUAUUAGGGAAGAACAAAUGUGUAAGUAACUAUGCACGUCUUGACGGUACCUAAUCAGAAAGCCACGGCUAACUACGUG
rnacentral:rRNA from 1 species